rnacentral:rRNA from 1 species
AUUGAACGCUGGCGGCAGGCCUAACACAUGCAAGUCGAACGGCAGCGGGGGAUAGCUUGCUAUCCUGCCGGCGAGUGGCGGACGGGUGAGUAAUGCAUGGGGAGCUGCCCAAUCGAGGGGGAUAACAACUGGAAACGGUUGCUAAUACCGCAUACGCCCUGCGGGGGAAAGGUGGGGACCUACGGGCCUACCGCGAUUGGAUGCACCCAUGUGGGAUUAGCUGGUUGGUGAGGUAACGGCUCACCAAGGCGACGAUCUCUAGCUGGUCUGAGAGGAUGACCAGCCACACUGGAACUGAGACACGGUCCAGACUCCUACGGGCGGCAGCAGUGGGGAAUAUUGCACAAUGGGGGAAACCCUGGUGCAGCCAUGCCGCGUGUGUGAAGAAGGCCUUCGGGUUGUAAAGCACUUUCAGUGGGGAGGAAGGGGAGUAAGCUAAUAACUUGCUUCAUUGACGUUACCCACAGAAGAAGCACCGGCUAACUCCGUGCCAGCCGCCGCCGUAA